GACGAACGCUGGCGGCGUGCCUAAUACAUGCAAGUAGAACGCUGAAGAGAGGAGCUUGCUCUUCUUGGAUGAGUUGCGAACGGGUGAGUAACGCGUAGGUAACCUGCCUUGUAGCGGGGGAUAACUAUUGGAAACGAUAGCUAAUACCGCAUAACAAUGGAUGACACAUGUCAUUUAUUUGAAAGGGGCAAUUGCUCCACUACAAGAUGGACCUGCGUUGUAUUAGCUAGUAGGUGAGGUAACGGCUCACCUAGGCGACGAUACAUAGCCGACCUGAGAGGGUGAUCGGUCACACUGGGACUGAGACACGGCCCAGACUCCUACGGGAGGCAGCAGUAGGGAAUCUUCGGCAAUGGGGGCAACCCUGACCGAGCAACGCCGCGUGAGUGAAGAAGGUUUUCGGAUCGUAAAGCUCUGUUGUAAGUCAAGAACGAGUGUGAGAGUGGAAAAUUCACACUGUGACGGUAGCUUACCAGAAAGGGACGGCUAACUACGUGCCAGCAGCCGCGGUAAUACGUAGGUCCCGAGCGUUGUCCGGAUUUAUUGGGCGUAAAGCGAGCGCAGGCGGUUUGAUAAGUCUGAAGUUAAAGGCUGUGGCUCAACCAUAGUUCGCUUUGGAAACUGUCAAACUUGAGUGCAGAAGGGGAGAGUGGAAUUCCAUGUGUAGCGGUGAAAUGCGUAGAUAUAUGGAGGAACACCGGUGGCGAAAGCGGCUCUCUGGUCUGUAACUGACGCUGAGGCUCGAAAGCGUGGGGAGCGAACAGGAUUAGAUACCCUGGUAGUCCACGCCGUAAACGAUGAGUGCUAGGUGUUGGAUCCUUUCCGGGAUUCAGUGCCGCAGCUAACGCAUUAAGCACUCCGCCUGGGGAGUACGACCGCAAGGUUGAAACUCAAAGGAAUUGACGGGGGCCCGCACAAGCGGUGGAGCAUGUGGUUUAAUUCGAAGCAACGCGAAGAACCUUACCAGGUCUUGACAUCCCGAUGCUAUUUCUAGAGAUAGAAAGUUACUUCGGUACAUCGGUGACAGGUGGUGCAUGGUUGUCGUCAGCUCGUGUCGUGAGAUGUUGGGUUAAGUCCCGCAACGAGCGCAACCCCUAUUGUUAGUUGCCAUCAUUCAGUUGGGCACUCUAGCGAGACUGCCGGUAAUAAACCGGAGGAAGGUGGGGAUGACGUCAAAUCAUCAUGCCCCUCAUGACCUGGGCUACACACGUGCUACAAUGGUUGGUACAACGAGUUGCGAGUCGGUGACGGCAAGCUAAUCUCUUAAAGCCAAUCUCAGUUCGGAUUGUAGGCUGCAACUCGCCUACAUGAAGUCGGAAUCGCUAGUAAUCGCGGAUCAGCACGCCGCGGUGAAUACGUUCCCGGGCCU
rnacentral:rRNA from 1 species